GAUGAACGCUGGCGGCGUGCUUAACACAUGCAAGUCGAACGGAAAGGCUCCUGCUUGCAGGGGUACUCGAGUGGCGAACGGGUGAGUAACACGUGGGUGAUCUGCCCUGCACUUCGGGAUAAGCCUGGGAAACUGGGUCUAAUACCAGAUAGGACGAUGGUUUGGAUGCCAUUGUGGAAAGUUUUUUCGGUGUGGGAUGAGCUCGCGGCCUAUCAGCUUGUUGGUGGGGUAAUGGCCUACCAAGGCGUCGACGGGUAGCCGGCCUGAGAGGGUGUACGGCCACAUUGGGACUGAGAUACGGCCCAGACUCCUACGGGAGGCAGCAGUGGGGAAUAUUGCACAAUGGGCGCAAGCCUGAUGCAGCGACGCCGCGUGGGGGAUGACGGCCUUCGGGUUGUAAACUCCUUUCGCUAGGAACGAAGCGCAAGUGACGGUACCUGGAGAAGAAGCACCGGCUAACUACGUG
rnacentral:rRNA from 1 species